AACUUUUGGCAACGGAUCACUUGGCUCUCGCAUCGAUGAAGAACGCAGCGAAAUGCGAUAAGUAAUGUGAAUUGCAGAAUUCAGUGAAUCAUCGAAUCUGUGAACGCACCUUGCACCCUUUGGCAUUCCGAAGGGUAUGCUCGUUUGAGUGUCAUUGUACUCUCACACUCCCGAUGCUUUUGGAUUGGGAGUGGUGGACUUGGGUGUUGCUGCUUUACUGUGGCUCACCUCAAAUGGAGUAGUGCAACUCUUGGUUGGACAUAGUACGGCGUGAUAAGUGUCUUCGCCGGCGCCUCAUUAGAGGGUGGCCGAUCGGGAGCUCUGUGCUUCAAACCGUCUUCGGACAACAUCUGACAACUUGACCUCAAAUCGAGUAGGACUACCCGCUGAACUUAAGCAUAUCAAUAAGCGGAGGCU
rnacentral:misc_RNA from 1 species